UCCUACGGGAGGCAGCAGUGGGGAAUUUUGGACAAUGGGGGAAAGCGUGAUCCAGCAAUCCCGCGUGCAGGAAGAAGGCCUUCGGGUUGUAAAGUGCUUUUGUCUGGAAAGAAAAGGUAUGCUUUAAUACGGGGGGCGCAUGACGGUCCCUUAAGAAUAAGCACCGGCUAAUUACGUGCCAGCAGCCGCGGUAAUACGUAGGGUGCGAGCGUUAUUCGGAAUUACUGGGCGUAAAGCGUGCGCAGGCGGUUAUUUAAGACAGUUGUGAAAUCCCCGGGCUCAACCUGGGAAUUGCAUUUUUAACUGCAUCUUUAGAGUACGUCAGAGGGGGAUGGAAUUCCGCGUGUAGCAGUGAAAUGCGUAGAUAUGGGGAGGAACACCGCUUGCGAGGGCAAUCCCCUGGAACAAUUAUGACGCUCAUGCAUAAAAAGCGUGGGGAGCAAAACGGAUUAAAUACCCUUGUUGUCCCCCCCCUAAAACAUGUCAUACUGGUUCUUGGGUCCUAUGACACUCAGUGUCGAGCUAAACGCNUAAGUAUCCGCCGUCUCAGAUGUAGG
rnacentral:rRNA from 1 species